GAAAUGCGAUAAGUAAUGUGAAUUGCAGAAUUCAGUGAAUCAUCGAAUCUUUGAACGCACCUUGCGCUCCUUGGUAUUCCUUGGAGCAUGCCUGUUUGAGUAUCAUGAAAUCUUCAAAGUAAAUCUUUUGUUAACUCAAUUGGUUUCUACUUUGGUAUUGGAGGUCUUUGCAGCUUCACACCUGCUCCUCUUUGUUCAUUAGCUGGAUCUCAGUGUUAUGCUUGGUUCCACUCGGCGUGAUAAGUUAUCUAUCGCUGAGGACACUGUAAAAGGUGGCCAAGGUAAAUGCAGAUGAACCUCUAAUAGUCCAUUGACUUGGACAAUACUUUUAUGAUCUGAUCUCAAAUCAGGUAGGACUACCCGCUGAACUUAAGC
rnacentral:misc_RNA from 1 species